GUAUAUUGACUGUACAAAGGUAGCAUAAUCAUUAGUCAUUUAAUUGGUGACUUGUAUGAAAGAUUGGAUGAAAUAUAAACUGUCUCUUAAUUAUUUAUAGAAUUUAAUUUUUUAAUUAAAAAGUUAAAAUAUAUUAAAAAGACGAGAAGACCCUAUAGAGUUUUAUAAAUAAAAUUAAUUAAGAUUAUUUAUAAAAUUAAAAUUAAAAUUGAUUUAUUUAUUAUGUUGGGGUGACAGAAAAAUAUAGAAAACUUUUUAUAUAUUUAUAUAAACAUUGAUAAGUGAUUAAAUGAUCCAAUUUUAUUGAUUAUAAGAAAAAAUUACCUUAGGGAUAACAGCGUAAUUUUUUUUUUUAGUUCAGAUAAAAAAAAGAGUUUGCGACCUCGAUGUUGGAUUAAGAUAAAAUUUAAAUGCAGAAG
rnacentral:rRNA from 1 species